CUGCAAAUAUUCUUGCUGUUCUGAUUUCAUAAUAAUCAGGACAGGCUAAACAUUCACUAUAUUAAGACCAUCCACGUGUUCCCAGACCUAGUUCUUUCCCUAGGCAUGGUUUUAUAAAUGUUGGUGAUAAAC
ensembl:snoRNA SNORA72 Small nucleolar RNA SNORA72